rnacentral:sRNA from 1 species
UUAUAAGAGCCAUAAGAGUUUAAGAAAAAACCAAUUCACUAGACUAGAAAAGCUUCUCCUUAAGAACAAGAGUCAAAGAAAAGAAAGAAAACAUUGAUCCGAGAAAAAUCGAAAGAUGUCUUUAGUGCAAAAGGGUAGACUUAGGAUCAUCAUUGGGUUUAGAAAUAGGACCAUCUACUUGUUAUUCACGGUUUAUGUCGUUGGCUAGAUGGGGUAC